CAGUCGAGCGGUAGAAGAGGUGCUUGCACCUCUUGAGAGCGGCGGACGGGUGAGUAAAGCCUAGGAAUCUGCCUGGUAGUGGGGGAUAACGCUCGGAAACGGACGCUAAUACCGCAUACGUCCUACGGGAGAAAGCAGGGGACCUUCGGGCCUUGCGCUAUCAGAUGAGCCUAGGUCGGAUUAGCUAGUUGGUGAGGUAAUGGCUCACCAAGGCGACGAUCCGUAACUGGUCUGAGAGGAUGAUCAGUCACACUGGAACUGAGACACGGUCCAGACUCCUACGGGAGGCAGCAGUGGGGAAUAUUGGACAAUGGGCGAAAGCCUGAUCCAGCCAUGCCGCGUGUGUGAAGAAGGUCUUCGGAUUGUAAAGCACUUUAAGUUGGGAGGA
rnacentral:rRNA from 1 species